rnacentral:lncRNA from 1 species
CCCCACACAUCUUGGCAACGUUGGGUGGGGCUGGGGCCGGCGUCGCGACGCGGCGAGCGCUGGCUGCACUUGCUCCUCAGUGGAUCACCAGUGGCCGAGCGCGUCAGUUCUUGCGGUGGUGCGUUUUUCUUCUCGCGUCCCGAGUUCGCGCGUGUUGUUGUUCAUGUGUGUCCCACCCUUGGAUUUCCAAUUAUGAGGUGGCACCUGGCGCUUUUCCUGCUUUUCGGGAUAAGGUUUCAGUUUGUGCGGCUCACUUGCGUCUUUGAAUCGGACUUCGGGUUCACUUUGAACUGCGGUUUUAAGAAAUCUGGAUUGUUCCGGUUGCGUAAUUGGGUGGCGUCAAAGGCUAUGUUGGCGUUGGUUUCAGUUUGGGGGAUGAGCUCGGUUUCCGGGAGUCAUUGUCGAAUUUGGAAGCCACCCGACGCCGAUCCGUAGACACCGGACGCAGCGCCAAUCUCCUCGCAUUAUUCGACAAUAGCAAGAAAGAAGGUAAAGACGACGCGUCGGUGUCGAGCCGGUCGUUCAGCCCGCGGGUGCAGGGCUCGAAGCAAGGGUUCCGGACUGCGGCGGCCGCUACGGGGGUGGCGACGGUGCCGCCCUUCAAGCCGAUUGCGGGCGCCGGCGGCCCCGGGAACCUCUCGCGCCCGGCCCGGCUCAGCGGGGCCCCCGCCACAGGGCCCGGCACCGCUGCCGUUCCGGUCCCGUCCUUCCACAAGCUCCCGCCGUCCAUCGCCCAGAUGCCCACCAUCCCGGCCGCCGCCGUCGCUGCCGUCCCGGCUCUCGCCAUCCCUGCCGUUCAGUCCGCCAACCGCAGAUACGCUGUGAGUAUCCCGUUUUCGCCCUUAGACACCAUUCUGGCGCACAGUGGAUUGAGUCAAUUGGCGAGGUGGGACACACUCGAAAAAAACCACAUUGGAUCUAGAGUCCAGACUCUUAAAAACAUCGACAAGAAAAAAUACUCCUGAUUCAAUCGGAUUUUUGCUUAAAUCAAGAGCCAAGCCUCUUAAUUUGAGCGGAUUUCCUUUUGAUUUUAGCAAAAAUCUGAUCGAAUCAAGAGUAUUUUUUCUUGUCAAUGUUUUCAAGAGCCUGGACUCUAGAUCCAAUGUGUUUUUUUUCCUAGUGCAAAAUGUAGAAACCUUAAACGCUUAUAACUCCGUGUAUGCAAUACUUUGAGGUUCUAAAUAUGGUUCCAUUGGUUUUCUCGUGACAUUUCCUGUAGGGGCAUCUCUUGGAAAUUUAAAGGUUGACGAAAUAAACAUCAACAUUUGCAGUUUUAGUAGAAAAUUUA